AUUGAACGCUAGCGGGAUGCUUUACACAUGCAAGUCGAACGGCAGCGCGGACUUCGGUCUGGCGGCGAGUGGCGAACGGGUGAGUAAUGGAUCGGAACGUGCCCAGUAGCGGGGGAUAACUACGCGAAAGCGUAGCUAAUACCGCAUACGCCCUACGGUGGAACGCAGGGGAGCGUAAGACCUUGCACUAUUGGAGCGGCCGAUAUCGGAUUAGCUAGUUGGUGAGGUAACGGCUCACCGAGGCGACGAUCCGUAGCUGGUUUGAGAGGACGACCAGCCACACUGGGACUGAGACACGGCCCAGACUCCUACGGGAGGCAGCAGUGGGGAAUUUUGGACAAUGGGGGCAAUCCUGAUCCAGACAUCGCGCGUGUGCGAUGAAGGCCUUCGGGUUGUAAAGCACUUUUGGCAGGAAAGAAACGUAGCGGGCUAAUACCCCGUGGAACUGACGGUACCUGCAGAAUAAGCACCGGCUAACUACGUG
rnacentral:rRNA from 1 species